AGUAGGAAAUCAGAGUGAGUCAGGGUGGAGAAGAGUCAGGGUGGAGUAGGUAAUCGGAAAAGGUUGCUUUACGUGGAAGUUAAGUUUAAAAGCAGAAGGCAAAGAAUUGAACAUACAUAUUAAUUCUUUGAAGAGAAAUUUAUAACUCAUAUUUAAUAACUUCCUCCUCUUGCAUUUUUCCUUAUAGCUUUUUCUUUAACUCCUUUAACAUGUCUUGGCUUAGUUGUUCUGCCUGAUUUUCCAAAAGAAGGAGCUUCUCUGGUUAAGGUGGAGAAUAGUUAAGGGAGAUCUUAGUAAGUACCACUUCUGUGAGCCUCGGCACCAACCCAUGGAUGCAUGAUAUGACACAGCACCCGACAAGAUUAAGUACACCUAUUACGGCUACGAGGGAGAACAGUGCUGCUUGAGUCUAGCCCGAGCCCUUCUGGUGAUUGCCCAUCC
rnacentral:lncRNA from 10 species